AGACCAGUCUGGUACGUUUGGCCUCCGGAGCCAAAGGCCGCAGGUUCGAAUCCUGCAUCGC
rnacentral:tRNA from 1 species